rnacentral:rRNA from 1 species
AUUGAACGCUGGCGGCAGGCUUAACACAUGCAAGUCGAGCGGAGAUGAGGUGCUUGCACCUUAUCUUAGCGGCGGACGGGUGAGUAAUGCUUAGGAAUCUGCCUAUUAGUGGGGGACAACAUUCCGAAAGGAAUGCUAAUACCGCAUACGUCCUACGGGAGAAAGCAGGGGAUCUUCGGACCUUGCGCUAAUAGAUGAGCCUAAUUCGGGUUAGCUAGUUGGUGGGGUAAAGGCCUACCAAGGCGACGAUCUGUAGCGGGUCUGAGAGGAUGAUCCGCCACACUGGGACUGAGACACGGCCCAGGCUCCUACGGGAGGCAGCAGUGGGGAAUAUUGGACAAUGGGGGAAACCCCGAUCCAGCCAUGCCGCGUGUGUGAAGAAGGCCUUAUGGUUGUAAAGCACUUUAAGCGAGGAGGAGGCUACUGAGACUAAUACUCUUGGAUAGUGGACGUUACUCGCAGAAUAAGCACCGGCUAACUCUGUGCCAGCCGCCGCUGUAA